rnacentral:rRNA from 2 species
UGUUAGCUUGCUAACAGGCGUCGAGUGGCGGACGGGUGAGUAACGCGUAGGAAUCUACCAGAUAGCGGGGGAUAGCCCGGAGAAAUCCGGAUUAAAUACCGCAUAAUCUCUACGGAUAAAGGGGGGCCUCUAUUUAUAAGCUUUCACUAUUUGAUGAGCCUGCGUAAGAUUAGCUUGUUGGUGAGGUAAAAGCUCACCAAGGCGACGAUCUUUAGCUGGUCUGAGAGGAUGAUCAGCCACACUGGGACUGAGACACGGCCCAGACUCC